GAUGAACGCUGGCGGCGUGCCUAAUACAUGCAAGUCGAGCGAACGGACGAGAAGCUUGCUUCUCUGACGUUAGCGGCGGACGGGUGAGUAACACGUGGAUAACCUACCUAUAAGACUGGGAUAACUUCGGGAAACCGGAGCUAAUACCGGAUAAUAUUUUGAACCGCAUGGUUCAAUAGUGAAAGACGGUUUUGCUGUCACUUAUAGGUGGAUCCGCGCUGCAUUAGCUAGUUGGUAAGGUAACGGCUUACCAAGGCAACGAUGCAUAGCCGACCUGAGAGGGUGAUCGGCCACACUGGAACUGAGACACGGUCCAGACUCCUACGGGAGGCAGCAGUAGGGAAUCUUCCGCAAUGGGCGAAAGCCUGACGGAGCAACGCCGCGUGAGUGAUGAAGGUCUUCGGAUCGUAAAACUCUGUUAUUAGGGAAGAACAUAUGUGUAAGUAACUGUGCACAUCUUGACGGUACCUAAUCAGAAAGCCACGGCUAACUACGUG
rnacentral:rRNA from 1 species